rnacentral:rRNA from 1 species
UAGGGAAUAUUGGUCAAUGGAUGCAAGUCUGGACCAGCCAUGCCGCGUGCAGGAAGAAGGCCUUCUGGGUUGUAAACUGCUUUUGCCGGGGGAUAAAAUUCCCAUGCGUGGGACAUUGAAGGUACCCGGUGAAUAAGCCACGGCUAACUACGUGCCAGCAGCCGCGGUAAUACGUAGGUGGCAAGCGUUGUCCGGAUUUAUUGGGUUUAAAGGGUGCGUAGGCGGCCUAUUAAGUCAGUUCUGAAAUAUCCCGGCUUAACCGGGAGGGUGGGAUUGAUACUGAUGGGCUUGAGUGGAGUCGAGGUAGGCGGAAUUGACGGUGUAGCGGUGAAAUGCUUAGAUAUCGUCAAGAACACCGAUAGUGUAGACAGCUUACUAGACUUCAACUGACGCUGAGGCACGAAAGUGUGGGGGAUCAAACAGGAUUAGAUACCCUGGUAGUCCACACUGUAAACGUUGAUUACUCGCUGUGUGCGAUAUACAGUACGCGGCUUAGCGAAAG